AAGUAUUCGAUGCUGAUGGUAGAC
rnacentral:piRNA from 1 species